rnacentral:rRNA from 1 species
CCUACGGGCGGCAGCAGUGGGGAAUAUUGUACAAUGGGCGCAAGCCUGAUGCAGCCAUGCCGCGUGUGUGAAGAAGGCCUUCGGGUUGUAAAGCACUUUCAGCGGGGAGGAAGGCGGUGAGGUUAAUAACCUCAUCGAUUGACGUUACCCGCAGAAGAAGCACCGGCUAACUCCGUGCCAGCAGCCGCGGUAAUACGGAGGGUGCAAGCGUUAAUCGGAAUUACUGGGCGUAAAGCGCACGCAGGCGGUCUGUCAAGUCGGAUGUGAAAUCCCCGGGCUCAACCUGGGAACUGCAUUCGAAACUGGCAGGCUAGAGUCUUGUAGAGGGGGGUAGAAUUCCAGGUGUAGCGGUGAAAUGCGUAGAGAUCUGGAGGAAUACCGGUGGCGAAGGCGGCCCCCUGGACAAAGACUGACGCUCAGGUGCGAAAGCGUGGGGAGCAAACAGGAUUAGAUACCCUUGUAGUC